CUAAAAACAAUGAUGAGGAGUAGUAAUGGAACCUCGUGUCUUAGAGAAUUGACGGUUGGUGCAAGUCAAUCAUAGAGAUCCAUGAACUCGCCUAAUAGUUGCAAGGGUGAACAUUAAUAGUAGCUCUUGUCGUCUGGCCGCGUUAAGGUGUCAAAUAAGUGAGUGUAUCCAACACUAAAUUGGGUGGUACCGCGGGAAUAAUUUUGUUAUUAACCUCUCGUCCCUAAC
rnacentral:ncRNA from 1 species